GGAUGUGAGGGCGAUCUGGCUGCGACAUCUGUCACCCCAUUGAUCGCCAGGGUUGAUUCGGCUGAUCUGGCUGGCUAGGCGGGUGUCCCCUUCCUCCCUCACCGCUCCAUGUGCGUCCCUCCCGAAGCUGCGCGCUCGGUCGAAGAGGACGACCAUCCCCGAUAGAGGAGGACCGUUCUUCGGUCAAGGGUAUACGAGUAGCUGCGCUCCCCUGCUAGAACCUCCAAACAAGCUCUCAAGUAGAUGUCCUGGGGUUGAAGAACCACAUGGGAAGAAUACAUCUCUCUAAGGAAAUGGAUAGAUAUGUUAGAAAGUUGAUACUUUUGAG
rnacentral:snRNA from 1 species